GUAAAUGGGAGUGGGGUAGCUUGUGGACAUGUUAACUUAACUCAGCUGCCAGCUUGCAUGUGCUCCCGGCUCGUCUCCGUUUAUUAAUCCUCAGUGGUGUAGCUGGAUUGAAUCCACAGCGUCAGAUGGUGUCCACCAGUCUUCACCAGAGCUUUUCAAUCUUCAGCACUUAAACUGAUCUGAAAAAACUAAAUGACAGUCUGAGGAUUGAACCCACAGCUUCAGAAACUUCAAACAGUUUUGAGUCUUUUCACAGUCUCUGAUCCACAAACGUAUGCUGUGUUUAAGUGCUGGUGGAAGACUCGGACGUCCGGCUUUUCGGCGCAUUCACGAAUCUAAACCAGGCAAGAAGCGGAUCAUGCCCAGACAAGUAAGCCAUGGCGAGACAUCCAGAUGCAUCAUCCUCUACAGUGAGUAUAAGCUGAGUGAUCAGUUUUAAUUAAAGUGUGCAUGAUUUGCAUUAUAAACUGACAAAGCUCAAUAUUUAAUAUUUAGAUCAUGUAAGAUUUGUCACCAUUCUUUCCAUACCUCACAUAUCACACAUAU